UGAUGACGAGACGCUAAGGCGUUGAAGCAGUGUAUGUCAGACUUCCAAGAAAAGCUCGCAAUGUCACAAAUAAAAAGUGCCUGUACCAUAACCGACACAGGUGGGUAGGUAGAGUAUACUAAGGGGCGCGAGAUAACUCUCUCUAAGGAACUCGGCAAAAUGACUCCGUAACUUCGGGAGAAGGAGUGCCUUAUUUAUAAGGUUGCAAUAACAAGAUCCAAGCAACUGUUUAUCAAAAACACAGGUCUCCGCUAAGUCGUAAGACGAUGUAUGGGGGCUGACGCCUGCCCAGUGCCAGAAGGUUAAAGAAGUUGGUUAGUGUAUGCGAAGCUGAUGACUGAAGCCCUGGUGAACGGCGGCCGUAACUAUAACGGUCCUAAGGUAGCGAAAUUCCUUGUCGGGUAAGUUCCGACCCGCACGAAAGGCGUAAUGAUUUGGAUACUGUCUCGGAGAGAGGCUCGGUGAAAUAGACUUGUCUGUGAAGAUGCGGACUACCUGCACCAGGACAGAAAGACCCUAUGAAGCUUUACUGUAACUUGAAAUUGGAAUUGGACUUUGCUUGCGCAGUAUAGGUGGGAAGCGUUGAAAAUAUUCUUGCGGGAGUAUUGGAGCUAUCAGUGAGAUACCACUCUUGUAAUGUUAGAUUUCUAACUUUGAACCAUAAUCUGGUCAAAGAACAGUUUCAGGUGGGCAGUUUGACUGGGGCGGUCGCCUCCCAAAUGGUAACGGAGGCGUACAAAGGUUUCCUCUGAACGGAUAGAAAUCGUAUCUAGAGUGUAAAGGCAUAAGGAAGCUUGACUGUGAGACCUACAAGUCGAGCAGGGACGAAAGUCGGUCUUAGUGAUCUGACGGUACUGAGUGGAAAGGCCGUCACUCAACGGAUAAAAGUUACUCUAAGGAUAACAGGCUGAUCUCCCCCAAGAGUUCACAUCGACGGGGAGGUUUGGCACCUCGAUGUCGGCUCAUCGCAUCCUGGGGCGGUAGUACGUCCCAAGGGUUGGGCUGUUCGCCCAUGAAAGCGGUACGCGAGCUGGGUUCAGAACGUCGUGAGACAGUUCGGUCCAUAUCCGGUGUAGGCGCUAGAAUAUUGAGAGGAGCCUUCUUUAGUACGAGAGGACCGAGAAGGACACACCGCUGGUGUACCAGUUAUCGUGCCAACGGUAAACGCUGGGUAGCUAUGUGUGGAGUGGAUAACCGCUGAAAGCAUCUAAGUGGGAAGCCCACCUCGAGAUGAG
rnacentral:rRNA from 1 species